UACGUAGGGGGCAAGCGUUGUCCGGAAUCAUUGGGCGUAAAGAGCGUGUAGGCGGCCAGAAAAGUCCGCUGUGAAAACUCGAGGCUCAACUUCGAGCUGUCGGUGGAAACUUUGUGGCUAGAGUCCGGAAGAGGAGAAUGGAAUUCCUGGUGUAGCGGUGAAAUGCGCAGAUAUCAGGAAGAACACCCGUGGCGAAGGCGGUUCUCUGGGACGGUACUGACGCUGAGACGCGAAAGCGUGGGGAGCGAACAGG
rnacentral:rRNA from 1 species